UUCAUCGUCUUCAUCAUCAUCAUCUUCACCUGAGUCAUCCUCAACUCUGUCCCAACGAGCAUAAUCCAAAGCAGAGUGGCCCUUUGGUUUUGGAAUUGCUUGCCAUCCUUUGGAAUGUUGGUCAGGUGAUUCCUUCUUCCUCUGUGCUUGAGCUAUAACUUCAGCAGCAAGAGUCUUUCUAGGCUCAACUUUCCGCUGUGCUUGGGCAAUAACUUCAGCAGCAAUGGUCUUUCUAGGCUCAAACUUUUUCUCUCUACUUAUUUCAGAAGACCCAUUGUUCUUUGAUAUUUUAGGCACAACAACUUCAGUAUUAACAGUAGUUGUACAAGGUUCAGUUUGCUGAUUAGUUCUUGCUAUUGCCAUAGCUGCAUCUUCUUCUCCAUCUUGUUCUUCCUUGUGUCUACAUGGUUCUGCUUCAUCUUUUUCUUCCUCUUCUUCCAACUCAGCUUCAGAUUCAGGUAUUGGAGCCAGAGACUUUCCUUAAGCAAAACAAAAUAAUUUCUUUAACUGGCAGCAGGAGAUCAAUAAUUACAAAAUUGCAAUGUUAGCUGAAGACGUUAGUUAUUAAAUUAGAUUUGCCAACAAUUUGCUGAUUAAGAAACCUAGGGAUUGCUGGGCAACAGAUGAAAUUCCAGAUCCACACAUCUUCAUCAAAAGCAAACUUCUAAGGCAAAAAAGUUUUACCCUGACCCUAGUUGAAGUUUUUAAGCAACACUAAACAUUAAGCAUAUUUAUGCAGUUUAAGGAAAAGGCUUAAGACACAAAUGGCAUCAUGUCAAUGUAAUAAAGCAGGAUAUGGGCAGAAGGCAACAUCUUCUUAGACAUCUAUAAUUUGAUGACAUUCAUUUAAUAGAAAAAAUUAAAUGGAAAAGUAGAGUAAACUCUAUAAAAGAAUAGUCUGUGAUGCAGAUCUCAACUCAAGUAAAAUUCCCAAGACUAUACCAGAUCAUUGGGACUCACACAUAGUCUCCAUCCAAGGAUCCAUAUUGAUUUCAUAUGCUAAAUUACACCUUUAACAUAUAUGAUAAA
rnacentral:misc_RNA from 1 species